GAGACAAGCAGGAGGAGGACUAAGUCUUUGAUCCCAGCUAUGUAGAUUCCCUCUGACUGGAGCAAAUGGGACAGGAGGGAGCUAGAGGCAAGAGGCUGUAGAAGGCAGUCUUGGUCAGGAACACAAGGAACCUGGCAGCCAGCAAUUUCCACACAGGAGCUCAUCUCUAUGAAAACGACACAUCCAGUGUCUCACUGACAACUCAUUUUCUCCAACCUUCAUUCUAUGGAGAGGCGACAUUGUGUUCCAGCUGCCAUAUUGCAGCCACAACCCCUGAUGCACCAUCAAUUAUGAACGGCAAUAAUUAUGCAUGGGAAAGAAGCCACAGAUAAUGGGCUUCCAUUAGAUUAAGUAGUUAUAUGAAUAAAAAAAAUAAAACCUAUACUUCGGCUAAUUAA
rnacentral:lncRNA from 1 species